AUAUCAGUCAUGCAUAGCAUAUCAAUAAGCGGAGGAAAAGAAACUAACAAGGAUUCCCUUAGUAACGGCGAGUGAAGCGGGAAGAGCUCAAAUUUGAAAUCUUCAAGGUUUUACCUUGACGAAUUGUAGUUUAAAGAAGUGUUUUCUGUUGAAGUUUUGGUAAAAGUUCUUUGGAAUAGGACAUCAUAGAGGGUGAGAAUCCCGUAUUUGACCAUUACUUUCAGCUUUGUGAUACACUUCCAAAGAGUCGGAUUGUUUGGGAAUGCAGUCCAAAAUGGGUGGUAAAUUUCAUCUAAAGCUAAAUAUUGGCGAGAGACCGAUAGCGAACAAGUACCGUGAGGGAAAGAUGAAAAGAACUUUGAAAAGAGAGUUAAACAGUACGUGAAAUUGUCAAAAGGGAAGCGUUUGACACCAGUGUUGUUUUCUCGAAAAUCAAUUAAAAAGAGUUGGAUUUUGUGUUGUAUUGACUUUAUCAGCUUUCUUCACUCUUUUCCAGCUUUUUUUAAUGCACCUUUCGUUAUAACAAGUCAACAUCAGUUUCUUUUGUUGUAAAAAGGUCAUUGGAAGGUGGCUUUCUCUUCGGAGAAAGUGUUUAUAGCCUUUGACUCAUGCAAUCGGAGAGACUGAGGUCUGCAGCGUAGAUCCUUCGGGGUUAGAUACAUUUGUGCUAAGUUAUAGCUUUUCAUAGACAACUUGUUGACUAUGUUUAGUCUUGUAGCUUACUCGCUUAUGCUAUUUUACCUACGCUUAGGAUGUUGAACUCUAUCACACACAG
rnacentral:rRNA from 1 species